ACAAGGGAUUUAAGUAGCCAAGUGAUUUGCUCAUUGCUUAAGUGAAGACACACUUGUUGCCUGGAGGAGGUGAUGGACUCGUGGAGAGUUUGGGUGAAAGCCAGGAGGCAAUGUAAAGCUAUUCACAAGAAACCACUGAAGAUAAGAGUAGAUUGGCCUGUCAUAAUCUAUGCCGCUGAGUAAUCAGUGUUGGGUUGUGUUCUGCUACAGUGGCACCCGAAAAAGGACGGCCAGAAAAAAGUCACAUCCCAGAAAGGUGACAUCAUCCUCUUUGCCAAAGAAAGAUGAUGGCCGCCACACCUGGAAUACCAACCUGAGCUGCAUACACAGGCCAAACAGAAGAUGGAAAUUGUGGAGUCUCAGUGGGAUUAAUUGA
ensembl:lncRNA